rnacentral:rRNA from 1 species
GAUGAACGCUGGCGGCGUGCCUAAUACAUGCAAGUCGAGCGAACAGACGAGGAGCUUGCUCCUCUGACGUUAGCGGCGGACGGGUGAGUAACACGUGGAUAACCUACCUAUAAGACUGGGAUAACUUCGGGAAACCGGAGCUAAUACCGGAUAAUAUAUUGAACCGCAUGGUUCAAUAGUGAAAGACGGUUUUGCUGUCACUUAUAGCUUGAUCCGCGCCGCAUUAGCUAGUUGGUAAGGUAACGGCUUACCAAGGCAACGAUGCGUAGCCGACCUGAGAGGGUGAUCGGCCACACUGGAACUGAGACACGGUCCAGACUCCUACGGGAGGCAGCAGUAGGGAAUCUUCCGCAAUGGGCGAAAGCCUGACGGAGCAACACCGCGUGAGUGAUGAAGGUCUUCGGAUCGUAAAACUCUGUUAUUAGGGAAGAACAAAUGUGUAAGUAACUAUGCACGUCUUGACGGUACCGAAUCAGAAAGCCACGGCUAACUACGUG